rnacentral:rRNA from 1 species
GACGUAGGGCGCGAGCGUUGUCCGGAUUUAUUGGGCGUAAAGGGCUCGUAGGCGGCCCGCUGCGUCUGCCGUGAAAGGCAUCGGCUUAACCGGUGUUUUGCGGUGGAUACGGGCGGGCUUGAGGCAAGUAGGGGAAACUGGAAUUCUACGUGUAGCGGUGAAAUGCGCAGAUAUGUGGAGGAACACCGGUGGCGAAGGCGGGUUUCUGGGCUUGUUCUGACGCUGAGGAGCGAAAGCGUGGGGAGCGAACAGG